rnacentral:rRNA from 1 species
UACGGAGGGGGCUAGCGUUGUUCGGAAUUACUGGGCGUAAAGCGCACGUAGGCGGCUUUGUAAGUUAGGAGGUGAAAGCCCGGGGCUCAACUCCGGAAUUGCCUUUAAGACUGCAUCGCUCGAAUUGUGGAGAGGUAAGUGGAAUUCCGAGUGUAGAGGUGAAAUUCGUAGAUAUUCGGAAGAACACCAGUGGCGAAGGCGACUUACUGGACACAUAUUGACGCUGAGGUGCGAAAGCGUAGGGAGCAAACAGG